rnacentral:tRNA from 2 species
GGGCGAGUAGCUCAACUGGAUAGAGCACCGGCCUUCUAAGCCGGGGGUUGUGGGUUCGAUUCCCGCCUCGCCUACCA